ACAUCUCAACCCUCCAAUGUUUUUGCAUUGAAGGCGUUGGUAGUGAGCGCUGCCGGACUUUGGAUCGGCUCGCUCUAAAAUCAUUAGCUGGAUCCAUUCUGACCUGGUUCUACUCGGCGUAAUAAGUUAUUAUCGUUGAGGACGCCUGGCCUUCUAGGCAGGCGGCCACAGUAAGGGUGUUUGAGCCGCUUCCAACAUGUCUUGCUCUUGUAGCAAACACUUGAACC
rnacentral:misc_RNA from 1 species